rnacentral:lncRNA from 1 species
AAAAAGACCCUACACACCAUCAAAGUUUAAAAUCUCACAUUUCAUUUUUCAUUCUCUUUUUCUCAAAGCUUCAGCCCAUAGCCAUGACAUCUCCCUUGGCCUUGAUUUCCUAAUUCGAACGAACAAAUAUCAAUCAAAAAUCAACCAAAUGCUUCAUUGAGGCAUUUCAUCAAACACAUUGUAAGCUACCCAAAUGCUUCAUUGAGGCAUUUCAUCAAACACAUUGUAAGCUACCAAAAUGUUUCAUCACAUAGCCAACCAUAAAGAAAAAAUGUAGAUUCAAAUUAGAAAAAUGAUUGUAAACAACAAUAUUGAAUAGGAUGGUAGACAAAACAAAACACAUAUCUCAUAUAAAAGCAAAACUAUGAGGGAUGUUUUUCAUAAAAAAAACCAUCAAUAUAUCACAUUGUGGGUAAAAUGAAAGCAUUUGAAGUUAAUAUACUGUAUAAAUACAAACAAUAGAAAUAAUGGUUGAGAUUCACCAGUGAGUUCAGCGGUGCAAGGGGUGUUGGGUGGUUGCGCCGGCUGAAGGAGAGAAAGAGAGGGAUUUCGUGCGUUGUUGACCGAAAGUCUAGUCUUU